rnacentral:tRNA from 1 species
ACCUACUUAAUUCUGUGGUUAGAGUAUUACUUUCAUACGACUAGAAUCAUUGGUUCAAAUCCAAUAGUAGGUA